CCUACGGGAGGCAGCAGUGGGGAAUUGUUCGCAAUGGGCGCAAGCCUGACGACGCAACGCCGCGUGGAGGAUGAAGACCUUCGGGUCGUAAACUCCUUUCGAUCGAGACGAAUGUUUUCCGGGUGAACAAUCCGGAAAAGUGACGGUACCGAGAGAAGAAGCCCCGGCUAACUCUGUGCCAGCAGCCGCGGUAAUACAGGGGGGGCAAGCGUUGUUCGGAAUUACUGGGCGUAAAGGGCUUGUAGGUGGCCAACUAAGUCAGACGUGAAAUCCCUCAGCUUAACUGGGGAACUGCGUCUGAUACUGGAUGGCUUGAGUUUGGGAGAGGGAUGCGGAAUUCCAGGUGUAGCGGUGAAAUGCGUAGAUAUCUGGAGGAACACCGGUGGCGAAGGCGGCAUCCUGGACCAACACUGACACUGAGGAGCGAAAGCCAGGGGAGCAAACGGGGAUUAGAUACCCCGGUAGUCCUGGCCCUAAACGAUAGAAUGCUUGGUGUGGCGGGUAUCGAUCCUGCCGUGCCGAAGCUAACGCAUUAGCAUCGCCGUGGGAGGUACGGUCGCGAGGCGUGUAACGUUACGAAAGUAAGUUAGUUACGGCGUUGAGACGNGCGACGGACGACGACGAGGGAGGAGG
rnacentral:rRNA from 1 species